GUCCACACAACACAGUUCUGUCCAGAAGACCUAAGCAGAAGUCUGUUGAGGUGGGAACGGAAGACUGAGUUAUGAAAAUGCUUCUCCUAGAAGACUGACUACAGGUCACCCUCUUCAGGUCUACUGGCUUCCAACUGAUGUGGAUGAUUAGGCCUGUCGCUGUGGUAUUUAAUCACUCACACUAAUCAUGGCCUGAGGAAAGUAUCAUAUCAUCAACCAAACUUGGAAAACCCAGAUGAGGAGCUCAGUGUAAACCCUAAAGGGACAGGAAGGGAAGCUGAGUUCCCCAGAGGACUUGGUGUGUGCACAGAAGAACAGAAGCAGUGAAGUCAGCAGAAACCUUGGGCAAAGCAGCCAGGGGAUGGAAAGCUUUCUGCUUGCAGUUGCCUUUUAGAAAAGAUCAAACCUUCCAGUCAAGCUGGAGAUUGGUGGAUGUUAGCCUACAGGUCCUCCUUUCCUUUAGUCUGUGUACCCCACCAUUGCUUGGGUCUCCUCUCCCCGAGACCUGGAUGCAGGGCUGGCUGCUCCCUACUCCUUGCUGCCCACACCCACCUCAAGAAUGGCCGUA